GAAAUAAUGAAUAUGAUACAGCGGUUGAUGUGUUCUCUUUAUUUUUUUAAAUGAUUAUUGAUGCAUUGAAACUAAAAAAGAAGAAGCAAGAAAGAAAAAAAAGAAAAGUUCAAUUAAUUUAGGGAAAAAAAAAAAAAAAACCGCUACAAUGCUAUGGGCUUUCAGGUCUGUAACGAAUUUAAGAAAUAGCAAGCCCGGCCCAUCUUACUCGGUUGGAUGUGAAAACCCGCCAAAUCCGUCCAAUUGGCGACCAGAACUGCUACAGGUAUCCGCUGCUGGUACCUGUUGCGGAAUCGACUGACGUGGUAUAAUGCCAAGUCAGCAGAUAUAUUAUUAAAAAAAAAAAAAAACAGAAAUCGAUUACGGCUUGACCCAGCUCCCAGAAUCGUCAUUAAUGAAAUGUUGUGUUUCAUUUUUACAUUGAAGUAGAUAGAAAGAAGAAAAUCUAACACUGGUGGAAUUUAUCUUCUUCACCGCAAAGCCAUAGACGGCCACUCCCCCGCUUUGUCUUCACCAUGAACCCACAAACAGCCACUCCCUAAGAGGCACUUUCAUUGGUCGACUAAAGUUGGCAACAAAGAUGAUGAUGAAGUUCCAAGUAUCAAAUCUUCCUCAAUCGCAAAUUUUUUUUCCUCUUUGUGCUGUGCCCAUCGACGACGACGACUCCAACGGGACGACCUCCUCCACCAUUGACGGAAAGCAGCAAACUGGGUCUUUUUCCAAAUAGAUUCAAGUUUUUGCUACGGUCUCUUUCCACCAUCGACGUCGCAGUGCUCUUCUCCUCCACUUCCCAUCGCCGGCAUCUUCUCCACCAUUUACAGAGCAGGUAAGGAAAUAAAAAACUGAACAAAAUCAAAAUGGGUCUUUUUCCAACCAGAAUUGAAAUAAAAAUUCAUCAAACUUGACUAAAAAAACCCAGAAAGCUUCGGGAAGGAGAUGAUAAAACUUGAUCUCAGAGAGAGAGAGAAGCUUCAGUGAGAGAAGCAAUUAUUAUGUGAAAAAUCAGUAUUGGGUUUUGUAACAAGGAGAGAAUGGAACUUCGUUAUUAUCCUGUUUGCUCUCUCUGUGACAAAGGGAAGGGGAGGAGAACUGGUGUAUACGAAACACACCGUUUUAUUUGCACACGUGGAGGGACGUGUACGCAGGGGGUACGCAUUGGCGAGUGCAAAUAGACUUUUUCAUUGGCGACUGCCCUUCCUAGUAGCAGAAGGUUUUCGCGCCAAAAUUAGAAUCUGGACUCUUUUUGUUGUGGUUGGGUCUCAACGGAGGUCCUGCCUCUUUGUCUACUACUCUCCGGCAGCGAUGGCUCAUUCCUCCAUUCAACUCGACCACAAUCAGCGCUCCGAUUUCCUUGGGCUCGAGCGGCAACAAGUGCUGCGCGUACUCCACCCUCUUACAAUUCCAGGAAGAGUCUAGACUCCAGUGUCAGUCUUGCUUCAUAUUGGAUAUUGAGAAGUUGUUGUUCUUCAAAUUGUUAGGGAUGGUACUUGUAGAGGAUAUCAAGCAAAGAUUGCUUGGAUGUAAGAGUUGCUGAACCAGGGUUUGAAUGUUCAAACUAUCCAGGCGUAGGUCUGGGCUAGGCUCAAGUUCCCAUGGCAAUCCAUAGAAAGAAACAAAAAGAAGCAAAAAGGCUGGCCUACAGGAGUUGGGACCUACUAUAUUAGUAUCCCCCUCUUUACAAGGUGUCAUUGGACCUCAAGUACAUUGACAACCUGCAAUCAGUUAUCAGUCUUUCAAAAGUUCAGGCUAUCUGCUCUAUCACUGAUGUGAAUAUGGCUUCACCAAUGGUUUUUUAGUUGUGGUCUACUUUUGCGUGGUGCUUCAAUGAACUAUGAAGACAUCCCAAACAGAGUUCAUUUUACAGGUAAUGCAAAAUUAUUUUAAACGUCUUCUAUUGUCUGCAUUUGAUCCCCUGAAAUAUUUCCUUGCGGCUCUCAGUUUAUUGUAUGACUGUGUUGGUUCCCAACUGCUUAAAUAUAUGGAUAGCACUGGCCAAACGUCUGAAGCACUUUUUGGAUGAUGCUAAGGAACUUUCACCAUCGAGGGUGGAGUCUAGCAGCGCUGGUUUUAUUGCCAUACGCUAUCUCUUAUUCUACCCAUGUGCUGUAUGCCCUUAACGCCAAUUCAACCUCAAUGAUUAGUGGCUCCUUGGAAAAGAGUCAUGUUUCACCGCAGGGAAAGCUUGAGCUUGAACAUGUUAUUGAAGUCUGGAGGGUACUACUUGGGUUCUCUAAAAUCCUUACUGAAUCAGUGUUCUAUGAAUAUUUUGCUUCUGGAUUUGAGUCACCAAGAUCUGGUUCUUGAUCUCCUUCCUUUGCUUGGUGAAGUUGUAUGUUUCCCGGAAGAUGUCUGUACUCAGAAGUAGUUUCAGUUGGAAGUAGAUACAUAUAUUAUGGCGAUCAUAAUAUAUCCUUUGCUUGGUGAUGGUGUGAUAGGUUUCCUGGAAGAUGUCUGUAUUUCAGAAGUAGUUUCCAGAUGAAAGUAGCUGCCAAGAACAGUAGCUGCCAGGUAUGUGCAAAGAUUGCUUGUUAGAUCUACAAACCCUCAUGGAGCUAUGGUUGGGGUCUUUGAGGCACCAUUUUAUUGCAGGUUGGCAGUUGGCUAGGUACCAAUUCUGGAUUGGGAUUCCUCAGGGAUCCCAUCAUUUCAUUCACAGAGUGUUUUGGACAGUGAGUAUAACAAACCAAUUCAAUUUUAUGGUAUACCAUAAGCUGUUAAUCUAACAUUGAGCCCUUCCUCACUUUCCAAAGGACAGGAAUAGGUUUCAAUUUUAUAAAAUCUAAGUACUUAUUCCAAAUUGAUAACAACAAUUAGGACAUCAUUGGUUACCAACUAAAUUGUGAUGGUUUUGAGAGGGAAGUUCAUUUCCCACCUAGGGCUGCGUAAGGUAUUCCCCUUGGGGCCCAAGCCAGCAAUUGGAUAGUCCGACGUAGAAACAACAAAGGAAGGAGGGCCGAACUGGGCCCGAGAAGGCCCAUAAGAUAUGGUGACUAGUCACGUCACCUACUUGAGCCACAGCCUGUACUGCCGAAGAACGAGCACGUUGCAUUAAAUGGCUAGAAGAACCAGCACGCAAGGUUAGAGCAUGACGUCCAUUCACUUCUGUAACCACAACGGUGUGCGCACAUCCCCUCACCCACAACAAGGGACAAAUUGAGAAGAGGAAGAGUGACCCAUGUAUAAAAUGGCAAGGCAGCAGUUGACAUGGCAGAGAAAGACUAUGCUAGCAGUACAACACUCAAUACACCCUUGCACAAUCUGGUAGUAGUGGGCAGGGACCACCGUGAGAGCAUUCACAUUGGUUUAUGCAUAUGCAUAUACAAAAUCACAUCUUUUGGAGAUUCAAUUUGCCAUACAAGCAAAACUUUCACAUUGGCUUAUACAAAUUUGAGACAAAAUAAUAAUAAAAUAUUAUCAUUUUAUUAUUUUUUUUAUUUUUUUUAAUAGGGUUUGAUCUUCAAAUAUGUAAAAUAUUUGAGUAAAAUAUUUUUUUGGAGAGUGUAUGAAUAAAAUAUGCAGUAAAAUAUGUAGAAAGGGAGUGGAAGGAGAGAAAAAGAAUAAAUAAAAUAUGUUUUGGAGAGUGAAUAGUAGAUCUUCAAACAUGUAAAGAUACUGUUUAUAGUUAUGCAAAUAUUUGAAGAUGCAUAAUCCAAUGUAGAUAAAUUUAAGUUCAUAUUAUACAAAUAUAACUUUGCAUAUGUAUAUGCAUAAACCAAUGUGGAUGUUCUGACUAGGCAUAUAAGCAUGUCCCUGGCUUAGGUAAAGGGAUUUGGACAUUUUUUUUCUAGUACUCUCAACUCAAAAAGAUUAUUCUACCUUAUGCAUCGGAGGUGUCCCUUGUCCCGGAGCCUUCAUCUUAGUGAAUCUUGCAGGUCUUCAAGAGGAACAGUUGAGUUGCCCAUAUUACAAAGCACGACAUCAGCAGGUUUUGUUUUUAAGGGUCUUUUCCAUUGACCAACCUUGCUCAUGUUUCAUUACGAAGAUAUUUGUGGUUGUUAUGGAUGAAUAUAGCGACAGACCACCUAACUGUUUUUGUCAUGACAAGUUAGCUCAAUAUCUGGUUUCUUCCCUUCGUGCUUGAGUCAUUCCAUAUGUGAUUUCACUAUAGUGUCUGACUUUGUCAUGAAGUUCAGGCACUGUCGGCAUAGUUUGUCACUUGUAUUCACACGAAGCAAGAUGGUCUUGUUUAUUGAGAUAAUAAUCUUGUCCACUGCUCCAAUGGCCAUGCGGCCAUCACAUAUAGAGAUGCGGGAUGAAAGCACCAAACAUUAACUGCAACUGCAACCUUAAAAGAGCACCAAGUUAUGUAGAAAUGGUAUUCUCUUCAUUUUGAUCAUUACAUUUUUUAAAAAAUAAAUUAAUAACAUUAAUAAUUAAAAUAAUCAAAUCACUCUAUUAUUUAUAAUUAAAUAAUAACUACCAUCCAUUUAAAAAUGAAAAUAAAGAUGAUGUAUUUGCAAAGAUCACAUUUCAAAGUGAGAGCAUCUAUCUGUAUCAUGCCAGCCGCCAGGCCAUAUAUGUAUCGGUAGCACAUGGAAGAAAGAGGGAACUCUUCUUUAAACAAAAAAUAAAAAAGAAAAGAAAAGAGGGAACUCUUCUUGUGGAUGGGUUGCACUCGCACUUCGGUUUUGUCAAACAAAUAAUGCACUUUGAAAGUGAUCUUUUUUAGCCUCUAAAGUCGGCCGAUAUUAAUCCGAUCGCACGCAAGCUCCGGAUCAUGUAUCAUCUAUUCCUUUUUGUUUCGCUUUCACAACCACUUUCACUUGCUCAGAGGCUUUGCUUGUAGGGCAUGAUAUAACAAGAUUAUCCAAUUGAAACUUUCCAUCAAUGAUCGAAAAGACUUUUGUCUCGUACGGUUAAAUGUGCUCAAGUGCCUAACCAUUAGUGCUCACAUCUCCCCCAUCUGGACCGUCCGAUGCAAAAGCCAGACAUUUUAUAUGAUUGGAUGUCUUCUGCAUGCCCACCAACUGAUGGUU